rnacentral:rRNA from 1 species
UACAGAGUGUGCAAACGGUGUUCGGAAUCACUGGGCGUAAAGCGGGUGUAGACGGCCAUGCAAGUCGGGUGUGAAAUCCCGGGGCUCAACCUCGGAAGUGCACUCGAAACUGCGGGGCUGGAGUCCUGGAGAGGAAGGUGGAAUGCCUGGUGUAGAGGUGAAAUUCGUAGAUAUCAAGCGGAACACCGGUGGCGAAGGCGGCCUUCUGGACAGUGACUGACGCUGAGCCCCGAAAGCGCGGGGAGCAAACAGG